rnacentral:rRNA from 1 species
UAAGACGGAGGUCCCAAGCGUUGUUCGGAAUCACUGGGCUUAAAGCGCGUGUAGGCGGAGUGGCAAGUACCUUGUGAAAUCCCCGGCCUCAAUCCGGGAACUGCUCGGUAUACUGCUAUUCUUGAGGCAGGUAGGGGUCACUGGAACCUUAGGUGGAGCGGUGAAAUGCGUAGAUAUCUAAGGGAACGCCUGUGGCGAAAGCGGGUGACUGGGCCUGUCCUGACGCUGAGACGCGAAAGCGUAGGGAGCAAACGGGAUUAGAUACCCCGGUAGUCUACGCCGUAAACGAUGCGCACUAGGUUCGAGAGCCACUGACGGCGCUCGUGCCGAAACAAAAGCGAUAAGUGCGCCGCCUGGGGAGUACGGCCGCAAGGCUA